CAUGCAAGUCGAGGGGCAGCAUGUUGGUUGCUUGCAACCAACGAUGGCGACCGGCGCACGGGUGAGUAACGCGUAUCCAACCUACCCUUGUCCAUCGGAUAACCCGUCGAAAGGCGGCCUAACACGAUAUGCGGUUCACGGCAGGCAUCUAAGGUGAACGAAAUGUGAAGGAGAAGGAUGGGGAUGCGUCUGAUUAGCUUGUUGGCGGGGUAACGGCCCACCAAGGCUACGAUCAGUAGGGGUUCUGAGAGGAAGGUCCCCCACAUUGGAACUGAGACACGGUCCAAACUCCUACGGGAGGCAGCAGUGAGGAAUAUUGGUCAAUGGGCGAGAGCCUGAACCAGCCAAGUAGCGUGCAGGAUGACGGCCCUAUGGGUUGUAAACUGCUUUUAUAGGGGGAUAAAGUGUGCCACGUGUGGCAUAUUGCAGGUACCCUAUGUAUAAGGACCGGCUAAUUCCGUGCCAGCAGCCGCGGUAAUACGGAAGGUCCGGGCGUUAUCCGGAUUUAUUGGGUUUAAAGGGAGCGUAGGCCGUUUGGUAAGCGUGUUGUGAAAUGUCGGGGCUCAACCUGGGCAUUGCAGCGCGAACUGCCAGACUUGAGUGCGCAGGAAGUAGGCGGAAUUCGUCGUGUAGCGGUGAAAUGCUUAGAUAUGACGAAGAACUCCGAUUGCGAAGGCAGCCUGCUGUAGCGCAACUGACGCUGAAGCUCGAAGGCGUGGGUAUCGAACAGGAUUAGAUACCCUGGUAGUCCACGCGGUAAACGAUGGAUGCUCGCUGUUUGCGUCUGACGUAAGCGGCCAAGCGAAAGCGUUAAGCAUCCCACCUGGGGAGUACGCUGGCAACGGUGAAACUCAAAGGAAUUGACGGGGGCCCGCACAAGCG
rnacentral:rRNA from 1 species